CUCACUGCUGCUUCUGAUUUUGAAAUCCCUGAAUACAUAGAAAUAUGCCACAGUCUUUCCCUUUUCCACAUUCUAAGGAGUCUUUCAUUCAGAAAUUACUGAAAGUAGUGAGUUUCCAACAUGAAACAAUAAGCAAUCUUGGGCCCGGGGUGUUUAACAGUCCUGUGAAGAAUCACAGAAAUGCUGAAGGACAGAGCCCCACGGUUUUGUUACAUUUGGUACAUGGCCUUGGCUGAAGCCUGCAGAGGAGGAUUUUCAAAGAAUGUAAAACUCCUUAAUGCUGGAAGGUGUUUGUACUUGGCUCUACUCGGUAUUGUAAGAUCUGAAGGUCACAUCUGUAAAAAGGGGACUUAGGGAUCUAGCUAAAGUCUGGUCUUCUCUCAGUCACAUUUCCACUACCCUUACAUUUUUAGGGUUUUCGUACUGGGUUUCAGAAGGGUACUUUGUUCCUGCCUAGUACUGGGUCUCUAGUUUACUGGGGCUUUUACAGUCCAUCCCAAGGUACAGCCACUGAGGUGAAAAAAGAUGCAGGUGGGCAACAAGCCCAGAUUCAGCCACAAAGCUUAAGACCCCUGAGUCAGGAGCUUUGCUGGGUAGGCAGCAUCCUUGGCUGGGCAUGGCCUGUUGUUUUCUGUUGGUUGCAGAAGGUGCUUUGUGAAACUGCCUGAAUUGUGCUGGACUGCUGCAUGCAGACCUUGUCUUGGAGGUCUACAAGCACUUUCACAGACAAUUUGUGAGCACAGGAGUUAUUACAGGUCAAAGGUCAGUGCCUGUAGGCAGACUGGAUGUGGGCAUGCGUUUUGGAGAGGUCUGGAUUCCUCCAGUAUCGAGGCUGGAUUCAUAACUGGGCAAAGCCAGCAGUGCCGUGGAGCUCCCAUCAAAGUGUCUGCGCCUCAUCUCUUCUCCACCCCGGGCUCGUUCAGCCCAAGCUGCUGCUUUGUCUUCAUCUUGCAAAACUCCAGGGUCACCAGACACUUCAGUAAAACUGGAGCUGCACUCCUCUCAGCAGUCUGGUGAGGGUGUAGAUAACAGGUUUGCGUACGUGCUACAUGGUUAUGCCUCCACUGUGCAUAAUUGCGCUGUGUUGGUGUUUGGCAAGUGCCAUCUGGUUUUCAUUUUCCUUCACAGUAUAAUUCAUCACCUCCACCCCCACAGAUUUACACUGCAACUGCCUUUCUGCUUUCAAGACAAUUUCAGCUACACGGAGUGUGUUUUGAUUUAUUUUAACUGAACCCAACAGACACUACCAUCAAAUCAUUCUCCUUUAAAUUAAAAUGAAUUUGAUUUGCAAAUUUUAGCAAGAUAGGACUACUACUCGUAAAAUCCUAACAGAUAAAAUAAUAAGAUGCUAAGGAGACGAAAGGACCAACCAUAAAACAAACUCUGCUCAUCAGCAAAAUAUUUUGGAGAAAUGUCUUAAAUGUAAAAACUUAUCAAAGCUAUAAAAGCAUUAAGAAAAAGCAGUGAGUAAUUAGAAGAGGUGCAGAGGGGAAAACACCUGUUGUAGUUCACUGCAGGGAAUUAUUAGUCCAAUGCUUCUUGUGAUUCAAAUUCCUAUUUGCAAACAACAGGAAGAAUCUUUUAUGGAAAGCUAUGUGGGAGAGGGGACACUGGCCUAUUCUGUAUGUGUAUCUGUGUAGAGGCAGGGGGGAGAGGAAAAAAAAAUCAACUUAAGAAGGAGCAAAAUGUAGAUCUGAUUGCCGAAACAGCAAAAAUGAGUAACUCUGAAAAGCCUGCAGGUUGCUUUUACUGCAGGCUCAUGAGAACUCCAGUGGACAGUUUUCCCUCCUCCUCUUCAGCACACCAUCAGACACAGCUGUAAGGAAAACUGCAAGUAGGAAAUAAGAUCCAAAGGAGAAACGAAAUGCACCUCUGUUGGCAUUGGUUAUUU
rnacentral:lncRNA from 1 species